rnacentral:rRNA from 1 species
GACGAACGCUGGCGGCGUGCUUAACACAUGCAAGUCGAACGGAAAGGCCCUGCUUUUGUGGGGUGCUCGAGUGGCGAACGGGUGAGUAACACGUGAGUAACCUGCCCUUGACUUUGGGAUAACUUCAGGAAACUGGGGCUAAUACCGGAUAGGAGCUCCUGCUGCAUGGUGGGGGUUGGAAAGUUUCGGCGGUUGGGGAUGGACUCGCGGCUUAUCAGCUUGUUGGUGGGGUAGUGGCUUACCAAGGCUGUGACGGGUAGCCGGCCUGAGAGGGUGACCGGGGACCAGGGGACUGCGGGACGGAGCAGUCGCGUACGGGAGGCAGCAGUGGGGAGUCUUGCACAGUGGGCGGGAGCCGGAUGAGGCGGCGCCGCGUGCGGGAUGACGGCCUGCGGGGUGAGAACCGCUUUCGCCUGUGACGAAGCGGGAGUGACGGUAAUGGGUGAAGAAGCACCGGCUAACUACGUG